rfam:Candidatus Aenigmarchaeota archaeon CG1_02_38_14 cg1_0.2_scaffold_23211_c, whole genome shotgun sequence.
GGGCCCAUAGCUCAGCAUGGUAGAGCAGGUGACUCUUAAUCACAAGGUCGAGGGUUCGAAUCCCUCUGGGCCCA